rnacentral:rRNA from 1 species
UUGAACGCUGGCGGCAGGCCUAACACAUGCAAGUCGAGCGGUAGCACAGAGAGCUUGCUCUCGGGUGACGAGCGGCGGACGGGUGAGUAAUGUCUGGGAAACUGCCUGAUGGAGGGGGAUAACUACUGGAAACGGUAGCUAAUACCGCAUAAUGUCGCAAGACCAAAGUGGGGGACCUUCGGGCCUCAUGCCAUCAGAUGUGCCCAGAUGGGAUUAGCUAGUAGGUGGGGUAACGGCUCACCUAGGCGACGAUCCCUAGCUGGUCUGAGAGGAUGACCAGCCACACUGGAACUGAGACACGGUCCAGACUCCUACGGGAGGCAGCAGUGGGGAAUAUUGCACAAUGGGCGCAAGCCUGAUGCAGCCAUGCCGCGUGUGUGAAGAAGGCCUUCGGGUUGUAAAGCACUUUCAGCGGGGAGGAAGGCGUUAAGGUUAAUAACCUUGGCGAUUGACGUUACCCGCAGAAGAAGCACCGGCUAACUCCGUGCCAGCAGCCGCGGUAAUACGGAGGGUGCAAGCGUUAAUCGGAAUUACUGGGCGUAAAGCGCACGCAGGCGGUCUGUCAAGUCGGAUGUGAAAUCCCCGGGCUCAACCUGGGAACUGCAUUCGAAACUGGCAGGCUAGAGUCUUGUAGAGGGGGGUAGAAUUCCAGGUGUAGCGGUGAAAUGCGUAGAGAUCUGGAGGAAUACCGGUGGCGAAGGCGGCCCCCUGGACAAAGACUGACGCUCAGGUGCGAAAGCGUGGGGAGCAAACAGGAUUAGAUACCCUGGUAGUCCACGCCGUAAACGAUGUCGAUUUGGAGGUUGUGCCCUUGAGGCGUGGCUUCCGGAGCUAACGCGUUAAAUCGACCGCCUGGGGAGUACGGCCGCAAGGUUAAAACUCAAAUGAAUUGACGGGGGCCCGCACAAGCGGUGGAGCAUGUGGUUUAAUUCGAUGCAACGCGAAGAACCUUACCUGGUCUUGACAUCCACAGAACUUUCCAGAGAUGGAUUGGUGCCUUCGGGAACUGUGAGACAGGUGCUGCAUGGCUGUCGUCAGCUCGUGUUGUGAAAUGUUGGGUUAAGUCCCGCAACGAGCGCAACCCUUAUCCUUUGUUGCCAGCGGUUAGGCCGGGAACUCAAAGGAGACUGCCAGUGAUAAACUGGAGGAAGGUGGGGAUGACGUCAAGUCAUCAUGGCCCUUACGACCAGGGCUACACACGUGCUACAGUGGCAUAUACAAAGAGAAGCGACCUCGCGAGAGCAAGCGGACCUCAUAAAGUAUGUCGUAGUCCGGAUUGGAGUCUGCAACUCGACUCCAUGAAGUCGGAAUCGCUAGUAAUCGUAGAUCAGAAUGCUACGGUGAAUACGUUCCCGGGCCUUGUACACACCGCCCGUCACACCAUGGGAGUGGGUUGCAAAAGAAGUAGGUAGCUUAACCUUCGGGAGGGCGCUUACCACUUUGUGAUUCAUGACUGGGGUG